UUAGGCGAACGGGUGAGUAACGCGUGAGUAACCUGCCCUGGAGUGGGGGACAACAGUUGGAAACGACUGCUAAUACCGCAUAAGCCCACGGCCCGGCAUCGGGCUGCGGGAAAAGGAUUUAUUCGCUUCAGGAUGGACUCGCGUCCAAUUAGCUGGUUGGUGAGGUAACGGCCCACCAAGGCGACGAUUGGUAGCCGGACUGAGAGGUUGAACGGCCACAUUGGGACUGAGACACGGCCCAG
rnacentral:rRNA from 1 species